GGGCCCGCACAAGCGGUGGAGCAUGUGGUUUAAUUCGAUGAUACGCGAGGAACCUUACCAGGGCUUAAAUGUAGUAUGACCGGUCUAGAAAUAGGCCUUCUCUUCGGAGCAGAUUACAAGGUGCUGCAUGGUUGUCGUCAGCUCGUGCCGUGAGGUGUUAGGUUAAGUCCUGCAACGAGCGCAACCCCUAUUCUUAGUUGCCAGCGGUUCGGCCGGGGACUCUAAGAAGACUGCCAGCGCAAGCUGAGAGGAAGGUGGGGAUGACGUCAAAUCAUCACGGCCCUUACGUCCUGGGCUACACACGUGCUACAAUGGUACAGACAGAGGGCAGCCACCUGGCGACAGG
rnacentral:rRNA from 1 species